AAUCAACGCUGGCGGCGUGCCUCAGACAUGCAAGUCGAACGAGAAAGUUCCCUUCGGGGAGCGAGUAAAGUGGCGCACGGGUGAGUAACACGUAGGUAAUCUACCUUCGGGUGGGGAAUAACCCAGGGAAACUUGGGCUAACACCGCAUAAUGCAGCGGCACCACAUGGUGACAGUUGUUAAAGCGGGGGAUUUUAGGACCUCGCGCCUGAAGAGGAGCCUGCGGCGGAUUAGCUUGUUGGAAGGUAACGGCUUACCAAGGCGACGAUCCGUAGCCGGCCUGAGAGGGCGGUCGGCCACACUGACACUGACAUACGGGUCAGACUCCUACGGGAGGCAGCAGUCGGGAAUUUUGGGCAAUGGGCGAAAGCCUGACCCAG
rnacentral:rRNA from 1 species